AAAAAACAAAGAGUACAAAGAUGUAGAUAAAAAACUAAACCCCAAAACUCGAAAUAAGAACCCUCAAAACAUAAACACAAAAUUCUCUGAAAGCUUGUAAAAGCUAAUACCUAAAUGUAUAAUGGGUUUAAUCUUUCUAGGGUAGAAAAGUGUCUUAUUUAUAAGCUAAAUUUGUAGGUAAAAAAUACUAAAAAUAAUCUACACUAAUCAAAGUUUGACUAAAA
rnacentral:lncRNA from 1 species